GAUGAAGAACGUAGCGAAAUGCGAUAAGUAAUGUGAAUUGCAGAAUUCAGUGAAUCAUCGAAUCUUUGAACGCACCUUGCACCCUUUGGCAUUCUGAAGGGUAUGCUCGUUUGAGUGUCAUUGUACUCUCACACUCCCGAUCUUUGCAUUGGGUGCAGUGGACUUGGGUUUGCUGCUUCACCGUCGCUUACCUCAAAUAGGUUAGUGCAACUCUUGGUUGGACAUAGUACGGCGUGAUAAGUGUUCUUCGCCGGUGCCUCGCAAAGAGGGUGGCCGAUCGGGAUGUUGUGCUCCAAACCGUCUUCGGACAAUCUCUGACGACUUGACCUCAAAUCGAGUAAGACUACCCGCUGAACUUAAGCAUAUCAAUAAGCGGAGGA
rnacentral:misc_RNA from 1 species